rnacentral:rRNA from 1 species
GAUGAACGCUGGCGGCGUGCCUAAUACAUGCAAGUCGAGCGAACGGACGAGAAGCUUGCUUCUCUGAUGUUAGCGGCGGACGGGUGAGUAACACGUGGAUAACCUACCUAUAAGACUGGGAUAACUUCGGGAAACCGGGGCUAAUACCGGAUGAUAUUUUGAACCGCAUGGUUCAAAAGUGAAAGACGGUCUUGCUGUCACUUAUAGAUGGAUCCGCGCUGCAUUAGCUAGUUGGUAAGGUAACGGCUUACCAAGGCAACGAUGCAUAGCCGACCUGAGAGGGUGAUCGGCCACACUGGAACUGAGACACGAUCCAGACUCCUACGGGAGGCAGCAGUAGGGAAUCUUCCGCAAUGGGCGAAAGCCUGACGGAGCAACGCCGCGUGAGUGAUGAAGGUCUUCGGAUCGUAAAACUCUGUUAUUAGGGAAGAACAUAUGUGUAAGUAACUGUGCACAUCUUGACGGUACCUAAUCAGAAAGCCACGGCUAACUACGUG